rnacentral:rRNA from 1 species
GGGCCGCACGCGCGCUACACUGACGGAGCCAGCGAGUCAUAACCUUAACCGAGAGGUUUGGGUAAUCUUGUGAAACUCCGUCGUGCUGGGGAUAGUCGUCUGCAAUUUUUCGACCUCAACGAGGAAUUCCUAGUAAGCGCAAGUCAUCAGCUUGCGUUGAUUACGUCCC